rnacentral:rRNA from 1 species
AGCGAACGCUGGCGGCAGGCUUAACACAUGCAAGUCGAGCGGGCGUAGCAAUACGUCAGCGGCAGACGAGUGAGUAACGCGUGGGAACGUACCUUUUGGUUCGGAACAACACAGGGAAACUUGUGCUAAUACCGGAUAAGCCCUUACGGGGAAAGGUUUAUCGCCGAAAGAUCGGCCCGCGUCUGAUUAGCUAGUUGGUAGGGUAAUGGCCUACCAAGGCGACGAUCAGUAGCUGGUCUGAGAGGAUGAUCAGCCACAUUGGGACUGAGACACGGCCCAAACUCCUACGGGAGGCAGCAGUGGGGAAUAUUGGACAAUGGGGGCAACCCUGAUCCAGCCAUGCCGCGUGAGUGAUGAAGGCCCUAGGGUUGUAAAGCUCUUAUGUGCGGGAAGAUAAUGACGGUACCGCAAGAAUAAGCCCCGGCUAACUUCGUGCCAGCAGCCGCGGUAA